UCUUUGUUCUGAGUUUAAAAGUGUUAGUUUUGAAGACCCACCCCAUGGAGGGAUGUGGGACCAUUAUCUUGACCAAUAACAGUCUUCUGGGCUGUCUCCAAAACAGAUAAUUCA